UACGGGGGGGGCAAGCGUUGUCCGGAAUUAUUGGGCGUAAAGGGCUCGUAGGCGGUUUGUCGCGUCGGGAGUGAAAACCUCGGGCUUAACUCGGGGCUUGCUUUCGAUACGGGCAGACUAGAGGUAUGCAGGGGAGAACGGAAUUCCUGGUGUAGCGGUGAAAUGCGCAGAUAUCAGGAGGAACACCGGUGGCGAAGGCGGUUCUCUGGGCAUGAUCUGACGCUGAGGAGCGAAAGUGUGGGGAGCGAACAGG
rnacentral:rRNA from 1 species